GUGGGGAAUAUUGCGCAAUGGGCGAAAGCCUGACGCAGCGACACCGCGUGCGGGAUGAAGGCCUUAGGGUCGUAAACCGCUUUCGGCAGGGACGAAGCGAAAGUGACGGUACCUGCAGAAGAAGGUCCGGCUAACUACGUGCCAGCAGCCGCGGUAAGACGUAGGGACCGAGCGUUGUCCGGAUUCAUUGGGCGUAAAGCGCGCGCAGGCGGCUUCGCAGGUCGGGUGUGAAAACCAGAGGCUCAACCUCUGGCCUGCACCCGAAACCGCGUGGCUAGAGGCAGGUAGGGGAGAUCGGAAUUCCUGGUGUAGCGGUGAAAUGCGCAGAUAUCAGGAGGAACACCGGUGGCGAAGGCGGAUCUCUGGGCCUGUCCUGACGCUGAGGUGCGAAAGCUAGGGGAGCAAACAGGAUUAGAUACCCCAGUAGUCC
rnacentral:rRNA from 1 species